AUACGGAGGAUCCGAGCGUUAUCCGGAUUUAUUGGGUUUAAAGGGAGCGUAGGUGGACAGUUAAGUCAGUUGUGAAAGUUUGCGGCUCAACCGUAAAAUUGCAGUUGAUACUGGCUGUCUUGAGUACAGUAGAGGUGGGCGGAAUUCGCGGUGUAGUGGUGAAAUGCUUAGAUAUCACGAAGAACUCCGAUUGCGAAGGCAGCUCACUGGACUGCAACUGACACUGAUGCUCGAAAGUGUGGGUAUCAAACAGGAUUAGAUACCCUGGUAGUCCACACAGUAAACGAUGAAUACUCGCUGUUUGCGAUAUACAGUAAGCGGCCAAGCGAAAGCGUUAAGUAUUCCACCUGGGGAGUACGCCGGCAACGAUGAAACUCAAAGGAAUUGGCGGGG
rnacentral:rRNA from 1 species